rnacentral:rRNA from 1 species
AUUCGUCUACCCAUCUCUUAACCCAACACUACUACUGAGCUAUCCUAUAUUUUUAUAGGAGUAUUUAUGUUAAAACUAGUAACACAGAAUUUUUUCUCUUAUAUGUAAGUGUACAUCAAACCGAAUACCUCACUGAUAAUUACUCAGCCCGAACAAAUUGUAAUAACACACUUAGAAAACCUUACUAAAAACACUGUUAACCUUACACAAGAACAUAAAAGAAAGAUUAUAAGACCGGGAAGGAAUUCAGCAAACACUAGUCCCGCCUGUUUACCAAAAACAUCGCCUUUUGAUCACUAUAAAAGGUAACGCCUGCCCAGUGACUAUAUGUUCAACGGCUGCGGUAUUCUGACCGUACGAAGGUAGCGUAAUCACUUGUCUUCUAAAUAAAGACCAGUAUGAAUGGCAUAACGAGAACUAAACUGUCUCCCCUAUCUAAUCAGUGAAACUGAUCUCCCCGUGCAGAAGCGGGGUUAAUAUCAUAAGACGAGAAGACCCUGUGGAGCUUUAAAGUCAACAUCAGCUGCCAUAAUUACUCAUACACCUGCGCAGAUAUGAUUUUGAUUUUUUAGCUGGGGCGCCUAUGGAGAAUAAUCAAUCCUCCAUGAAGAAUUUACUACGAGCAACCCCUCUAAGUUUUAAUUCACUUAACUUUAAUUGAUCCAACCCAUUGAUCAACGGACCAAGUUACCCCAGGGAUAACAGCGCAAUCCACUUUUAGAGUCCCUAUCGACAAGUGGGCUUACGACCUCGAUGUUGGAUUAGGGCAUCCAAGUGGUGCAACCAUUACUAAAGGUUCG